rnacentral:RNase_P_RNA from 1 species
CCAGACGGCUGGGCAGUCGCUGUCUUCGCUUUUGCGAAGGUGGAGGAAAGUCCGGGCUCCAAGGAGACAUGGCGGUGGAUAACGUCCACCCGGCGCAAGCCGAGGGAAAGUGCCACAGAAAGCAAACCGCCUCGAACCUGGUUCGGGGUAAGGGUGAAAGGGUGGGGUAAGAGCCCACCGGGGCUUCGGCGACGCGGCCCGCAUGGUAAACCCCGCCAGGAGCAAGACCGAAUAGGGGGUGCGCAUGGGCCGUCUUCAGCCUGCACCCCGGGUGUGUCGCACCAGGCGCGUGGCAACACGCGUCGCAGAGGAAUGACUGCUGAACCCGCAAGGGGGAACAGAACCCGGCUUAUAGGCCGUCUGGAUUU